CAGAGAAAAGAGUGGAAAUGGUUAGGAAAUUCUCGCAGUAUAAUUCUACUUUGGCCAAACAUCGUUGUACAAUUGUAGCCUUCAUCCUUUAUCAUUUUGCAUCUGACUCUAAUAAUCAUCUCUGUGUUGAAAUUCAUCCAAAAAAGAAAAUGUAACUGUCUCCAGUCCCUGUCAUCAAACAUUUUUUAAAUACAGGUUGUCGUUUCCAAGAAUGCAUCGAACAUUGACAGCUUUGACAGCUGUGUUAUCUUCUGAGUCAGCACAGCAGCCAAUGAGAAAACAAACCUCACUCUGUCAGCAGCUGCACACUCAUCUGUGUAUCUGCACAGGCAGGGAGACGCUGCCAGCGUCUGCAGUCAGAUCACACACUCCACCGCUCAUGACUAACCCGCUGGGUUUUUUCGUUUUGAGUGGACAUUUGAUUCUCGUGAAAAGCAACCAAAAAGAUAUGUCCAUUAGCAUUUGUGCCAUAACUAAGUGGCCAAAGGACUCAGGCAUUCCACCGUUUACAACCUCUUUCAUCAUUCUGGGGGCAGUUUGGAGGAUUUGACCGCAGCACUUUUAAACGCAAUCAGGCAGGAAGAGGGGGGGGGGGGGGGGGGAGCGCAGAAGGGAGGACUUGAGUAGGCCUGAAGGAAGUGGCUGGAGAAUUAAGACGUCUCUCUGUAAUUACCGUGAGACCAAUAGUUGGAAAAGUUGUGAUGGCCAAAUAAAAAACAAAUGUUAGAGACAGAACAGUGAAACGUGAGCCGGUCCUGCAAUCUCUGGUGAUGCAGAGCAGAAAGAAAUUCUUUACUUUUUUACAGCAACUAUUUAAAAUAAGUUCAGUAUGUUAGUAGGAAAUAUAUAAAACCUCUAACCUUAAGUUUGUUUUCCUCCCAGGACGUUUCUGGAUGAAAAUCAAUCAACAGGCAGCAGUGAUAACUCAAAUGUCCUGUCCUAUUCACACUGACAUCAGGAGAAUACUACAGGCUGGGAGAGGGACAGGAUCAGCUCACUGUCAGGUCUGGAGCAGACUCCACAUCAUAAGUUUCACAUGGACAAAGGACUUACUCAGAGAAAACGGCUCAGUCGUCGUCAGUCAAUGAUGCAACCGUGAUUGGACGCUGUACAAAGGUCGCCUGCAGAGGAGACUGAGGAAGACGCACUAGCUGUGGCUCUUUGCACAGAGGCCUGUAAAUAAGUGACAUUCAAGUCCAUCAGUUUGCACUGUGCUCCUUCGUGUUCUCGGACUGUGGAGGAAACUGAAGAAGUCAUGCAAAGAUCUCCCAUCGCUCCAGUAAAUCUACUCUGUGAUCUUUUUGCUGUAAGCUCCAGAUCACAUCUUUGUUCAGCUGUGAUCCCGUGUUUCCAAGAAUGUCAGGCUGGGUUUUGUAGGAACGUGAGACUGUUGAAUAUUUCCAUCCAUUUGAAUAAUGUAGCCCUGACAACAAACAAACACAAACAGAAUGUGGUAACAUAAUAUUUCAGCCAGUGAACAGAGCCCCAGUAAAGAUCAGGGGAAACACGAUGCAUAACACACAGAUGUGAACAAUGUGUUGUCGCUUCUUUUUCUCUCACUCAAGGCAUCGUAGCAGAAACUUCCUGGAGCACCACAGGCAUCACCUAAAAAAAAACCCCUCUUGCCCCUCAGACUGUGUGUCAGAGGGCAGGGUUGUGGCUUAAUGGUCUGCUGUGAACAAUCCAGGAUGUGAUAUUUUACAACUCUGCAACAGGCUGUGGAGAUGAGCAGCCUCGUGCUGCUGGAUAGAGAGUGAGUCAAGAGACACUGGAGCUGCUGACAGGCCCAUCUAUCAUCCAUCUAAAAACGCACAUAUUGUCAUCACGCACACAGAGAGAAGAGCACUGGUCAGGAUCCAAGUCCACAUGACGUGUUUUUGCAUGCAUUGGACAAGAGCACGGAGUCUUGCUUCAGAGCGCUGCAGCAGUUAGUGGAAGAGAUGAGACAUGGAGCGCUGAGAGAAAACAUGUUAAGGGCCAACAGAGUUGGAGAGUUGAGACUGUCUUUCAUCAACUCUGAUGCUCCCACACUGCCUUUGUGGCCGUCGCAGUCCUCGUCCAAACCAUCAAUCUCAGCGUAAUUAAAGGAAAACACUGUGCGAAAGCUGCCACAGGU